AAUCAAAUCGACAACAAACAUUAAAACUUUUUUUUUUUAAAAAGGACGUUAAAAAAUUUAAAAAGUAUAUGAGCUUCAUGGGACUAACUCAUCGCCUUCCCUUGCGUACUUCAGAUUGUAGCCAUACUUUUAAAAAAAAAGGCAAAGAGGAUAAUGACAUUUUUUAUCAGUAUUGUGAAUAAACUUGAACACAAAUACAGAAGUUCUAUGUCCUGUCUUCAGUUGUAGAAGUUGUCUUCUGCAAGGUACAACCACCCACUUGAACUUCCUCUGAUGACACAAUCCACAAUUCUAUAAGGGAAUCAGUGUUCACGUCUCUGUAUAUAUUUAUUUAUGUGUAAUUUAAUGGGAUUUGUAAAUAUGGUGAGUCUGUUUUAAACCUUUUUUUAUUUAUCUGGUGAUCUCGUUUACCUCCUGUUUAGUGGGCUUUGGAUCCUCCCUGUUAGUUCUUCAUGUGGUUUUACUUAGAAAUCCAAGGUUUGGGUAAGACUCCCCCUCCCCACCCCUUUUCUCCAAUUCAUGGAUUUAGCCCCGUGGUAGCAUGUUAAACGAUUAUAAUGAAACAGCUGAACAAAAACAUUUUUAAGGUAAAAUAAAAAUUUAUAUAUAAUUAGUAUU
rnacentral:lncRNA from 1 species